GCGCAGGUGGUGAAAUUGGUAGACACGCUACCUUGAGGGGGUAGUGCUGGUAACGGCAUGUGAGUUCGAGUCUCAUCCUGCGCA
rnacentral:tRNA from 1 species